UCCCAGUGGCUUAGAUGGUAAAGAAUCUGCCUUCAAAGCGGGAGACCCAGGUUCAAUUCCUGGGUUGGGAA
rnacentral:tRNA from 1 species